rnacentral:rRNA from 1 species
GAAUCAACGCUGGCGGCGUGCCUCAGACAUGCAAGUCGAACGCGAAAGUUUCCUUCGGGAAACAAGUAGAGUGGCGCACGGGUGAGUAACACGUAGGUAAUCUACCUUCGGAUGGGGAAUAACAAUCGGAAACGUUGCUAAUACCGCAUAAUGCAGCGGCACCUAAUGGUGACAGUUGUUAAAGACGGGGGAUCGAAAGACCUCGCGUCUGAAGAGGAGCCUGCGGCGGAGUUAAGCAGUUGGUAAGGUAAUGGCUUACCAAGGCUACGAUCCGUAAACCGGCCUGAGAGGGCGGUCGGUCACACUGACACUGACAUACGGGUCAGACUCC